UACGAAGGGGGCUAGCGUUGCUCGGAAUCACUGGGCGUAAAGGGUGCGUAGGCGGGUUUUUAAGUCAGAGGUGAAAUCCUGGAGCUCAACUCCAGAACUGCCUUUGAUACUGAAAGUCUUGAGUAUGGGAGAGGUGAGUGGAACUGCGAGUGUAGAGGUGAAAUUCGUAGAUAUUCGCAAGAACACCAGUGGCGAAGGCGACUUCCUGGCCUGUUCUUGACGCUGAGGCGCGAAAGCUAGGGUAGCAAACGGG
rnacentral:rRNA from 1 species